rnacentral:rRNA from 1 species
CCCGCUGAACUUAAGCAUAUCAAUAAGCGGAGGAAAAGAAACUAACAAGGAUUCCCCUAGUAGCGGCGAGCGAAGCGGGAAGAGCUCAAAUUUGUAAUCUGGUACCUUCGGUGCCCGAGUUGUAAUCUCGAGAAGUGUUUUCCGUGCCAGACCGCAUACAAGUCUGUUGGAAUACAGCGUCAUAGUGGUGAGAACCCCGUAGAUGAUGCGGAUGCCUGGUGCUCUGUGAUACACUUUCGAAGAGUCGAGUUGUUUGGGAAUGCAGCUCAAAUUGGGUGGUAAAUUCCAUCUAAAGCUAAAUAUUGGCGAGAGACCGAUAGCGAACAAGUACCGUGAGGGAAAGAUGAAAAGCACUUUGGAAAGAGAGUUAACAGUACGUGAAAUUGUUGGAAGGGAAACGCUUGAAGUCAGACUUGCUAUUUGGAGUUCAGCCUCACGGUGUAUUCUUCAAUUUGCAGGCCAGCAUCAGUUUUUGGGGGUAGAAAAGGGUAUUGAGAACGUGGCAACUCCGGUUGUGUUAUAGCUCUUUACUGGAUCUAUCCUUGGGGACUGAGGAACGCGGUACACUUUUUGCAAGACUCUCGAGUCUUUUUGUACCUAGGAUGCUGGUGGAAUGGCUUUAAACGACCCGUCUUGAAACACGG